rnacentral:rRNA from 1 species
CCUACGGGUGGCAGCAGUGGGGAAUAUUGCACAAUGGGCGAAAGCCUGAUGCAGCAACGCCGCGUGAAGGAAGAAGGGUUUCGGCUCGUAAACUUCUAUCAUCAGGGACUAAAGAAAUGCAGGUACCUGAUUUAGAAGCUCCGGCUAACUACGUGACAGCAGCCGCGGUAAUACGGAGGAGGCAAGCGUUAUCCGGACUUACUGGGUGUAGAGGGUGAGUAGGCGGCAUGGUAAGCCAGAUGUGAAAGCCUUGGGCUUAACCCGAGGAUUGCAUUUGGAACUAUCAAGCUAGAGUACAGGAGAGGAAAGCGGAAUUCGUAGUGUAGCGGUGAAAUGCGUAGAUAUUAGGAAGAACACCAGUGGCGAAGGCGACUUUCUGGACUGAAACUGACGCUGAGGCACGAAAGCGUGGGGAGCGAACAGGAUUAGAUACCCUAGUAGUC